GUUAAAUUAAUUUGAUUAAUAUACUGAUUAAGAUGUUUUCCAGUUCUUUUUUUGCAUAAGGUAUGUUUGCAAACUCAUUUAGGGCGAAAGAUAUGUGUGAUAUUGCAUCUUACAACGUUUUUCAGAUGCAAAUGCGGAUAUCAAGUAGAACAAUAGAAAUUUUCUUGACGCCAAGAUACAGAAAAAUUAGGUUAAUGUGUGGGUUAAUUAACCCGCUGCACAUUGCUAUAUCACUGCACAUAACCGUCGCAGAUCUACAUUGCCACAGCACAAAAAAAAAGAAAACAACACCAGCAGUACUUUAAUUGAUUAACCGUUUCGUUUCGCGCUUUCGAAACUUUUAAUAAGCGAAGGAGAGUUGUAAAAAAAUAAAUGGUAGAAAUCGUAUUUAUCAUAAAAACAACAAUAGAAAUUCCCUGUCUGUUUUACAGCUCAAUAAGACGUCAAGAGGCCGAAGGCUGUUAUCCGUUUCUCAAACGUCAUCCGAUGACGUUCUGAGGGUGUGGCUAACUUAACCAAAAUCGACUUCCCAGUAGGAGGUCUACGUCCAAACUGUCACAUCUUAUUAUGGUAUGUUCAGUAGGUCAUUGUCCCAUUCGUAUUACUAAACGGAAACAAAUUUUUUCCAUAUUGAUGUUGUCCAAAAAGACGCCUUUACUGCAUCAACUCCCAUUACUUCUUUCUCGUUCCUAUUCUCUCGAGAUAAAAAGGAAAAAGAAAAGAAAGAAAAAAAAAAGAGGCUACCGAAUCGCGUAUUAUGUAGGAAAAAUAAUUAUAUUUCUAUUAUUUUAAAAAACUAACUUAAUAGUGAUAGAUGUAUAGGCUACUAAUCAUUUGGCGUUGUCCUAGUUGUCGGUCAACUCGGUGGUCUUAAUUCACCUUAUGUCGCCUGGAUGGCGGACAAGCUAGCAUAAUUAAUCCAGUUUCACUUUUUCGGUACCAUCCCAUCCAUCUUCAAAAGUCAAAAUGGCGUCAAGAGAUAGAUUUGAGAUUGUUUAGAUAGUCAUUAUACCGGCUUUACGCUAAUAAGUUUACUUAGGAGAAAAAAAGAAAAAAAUGUUAUGCAUACAUGCGAUUAAUACAAACCGAUUAUGUCUGUAUCAAAAAUGUCGAGUUUAAGUUGGCAAAAUAUCAGUUCCUAGAAGCUUUAAGAUUGUUAGCCAACUAUUUCUUGAGUUGGCAAUUAAGUUUAAAAGUCAGAGAUCUUUAAGCCGGAGGUGAAAAUGAAUAGAAGUUUGUCGAAUGGUUGAUCAUGUGUUGUUAUCUACUCACACCGAUCAAGUCUGGAAGCAGUCGGUUUGUUCACAGCAACAAUAGAUGGGUGCAAGGUUACCCUUAACAUCGUCCUUGAUAGUGAAAGCUUCAAUCGUCCUAAUUAUCACGUCCUUGUCGAUCUUUUCUUUUUUAUUUUGUUGAUCUAGCACUUCGCCUACUAACCUCUGAAUACUUGUUCAUUCUAAUCCUGCUCGAGUAAAUGCAGUUUGAAUUUAGUUUAUGAUCCAC
rnacentral:lncRNA from 1 species